UGGUGGAGCGAUUUGUCUGGUUUAUUCCGAUAACGAACGAGACUCUAGCCUGCUAACUAGGCGUAUUUUCGACAUCCCAAAGGUCCGCCGGCCAGUUCGGCUUCGGUUGUUCUGUGCUGUGCGCGAUUUUUACUGUCGGCGUACAAUAAAUUCUUCUUAGAGGGACAGGUGGUUAUCAGCCGCACGAGAUUGAGCAAUAACA
rnacentral:rRNA from 1 species